rnacentral:sRNA from 1 species
AUUUUUGUUCUCAACAUGAUGAAGGGUGCUGUUUUGCUCUUUGUCCUUCUUUGCAGUCAAGUGGCUUUUGGAUGCGAUUAUUUGGGAAUCGUGGACUGUACUGAUGUACUGACGUCUGCCUCUAUUGAACAGCUCGCGGCCGACAUUUGUGGAUAUUGGUGGAGGUUCUCUACUUGCAUGGCCAGUCUGAGGGAAUCGUGCCGAGGAAAUCCGAUCUGGUCGACCUACAGAAGCCGAUUUAGUUGGCUGAAUGAUGACUGUUAAUUGUAUCCAAUACACAUGUUGAUUAGCUUGUACUAUAAUGUAAAGUUUAAAAUAAAAUGCCUUUUAUGAU